rnacentral:rRNA from 1 species
UCCAGACUCCUACGGGAGGCAGCAGUGGGGAAUAUUGCACAAUGGGGGAAACCCUGAUGCAGCGACGCCGCGUGAGUGAAGAAGUAUUUCGGUAUGUAAAGCUCUAUCAGCAGGGAAGAAAAAAGACGGUACCUGACUAAGAAGCCCCGGCUAACUACGUGCCAGCAGCCGCGGUAAUACGUAGGGGGCAAGCGUUAUCCGGAAUUACUGGGUGUAAAGGGUGCGUAGGUGGCAUGGUAAGUCAGAAGUGGAAGCCCGGGGCUUAACCCCGGGACUGCUUUUGAAACUGUCAUGCUGGAGUGCAGGAGAGGUAAGCGGAAUUCCUAGUGUAGCGGUGAAAUGCGUAGAUAUUAGGAGGAACACCAGUGGCGAAGGCGGCUUACUGGACUGUCACUGACACUGAUGCACGAAAGCGUGGGGAGCAAACAGGAUUAGAUACCCCGGUAC